rnacentral:rRNA from 1 species
UAGUCAGAUGAGUUGCGAACGGGUGAGUAACGCGUAGGUAACCUACCUCAUAGCGGGGGAUAACUAUUGGAAACGAUAGCUAAUACCGCAUGACAAUUAAGUACUCAUGUACUAAAUUUAAAAGGAGCAAUUGCUUCACUAUGAGAUGGACCUGCGUUGUAUUAGCUAGUUGGUGAGGUAACGGCUCACCAAGGCCACGAUACAUAGCCGACCUGAGAGGGUGAUCGGCCACACUGGGACUGAGACACGGCCUAGACUCCUACGGGAGGCAGCAGUAGGGAAUCUUCGGCAAUGGGGGCAACCCUGACCGAGCAACGCCGCGUGAGUGAAGAAGGUUUUCGGAUCGUAAAGCUCUGUUGUUAGAGAAGAACGGUAAUGGGAGUGGAAAAUCCAUUACGUGACGGUAACUAACCAGAAAGGGACGGCUAACUACGUGCCAGCAGCCGCGGUAAUACGUAGGUCUCGAGCGUUGUCCGGAUUUAUUGGGCGUAAAGCGAGCGCAGGCGGUUAUUUAAGUCUGAAGUUAAAGGCCGUGGCUCAACCAUGGUUCGCUUUGGAAACUGGAUAACUUGAGUGCAGAAGGGGAGAGUGGAAUUCCAUGUGUAGCGGUGAAAUGCGUAGAUAUAUGGAGGAACACCGGUGGCGAAAGCGGCUCUCUGGUCUGUAACUGACGCUGAGGCUCGAAAGCGUGGGGAGCAAACAGGAUUAGAUACCCUGGUAGUCCACGCCGUAAACGAUGAGUGCUAGGUGUUAGGCCCUUUCCGGGGCUUAGUGCCGCAGCU